AGGAAAAGAAACCAACCGGGAUUGCCUUAGUAACGGCGAGUGAAGCGGCAAAAGCUCAAAUUUGAAAUCUGGUACCUUCGGUGCCCGAGUUGUAAUUUGGAGAGGGCAACUUUGGGGCCGUUCCUUGUCUAUGUUCCUUGGAACAGGACGUCAUAGAGGGUGAGAAUCCCGUGUGGCGAGGAGUGCGGUUCUUUGUAAAGUGCCUUCGAAGAGUCGAGUUGUUUGGGAAUGCAGCUCUAAGUGGGUGGUAAAUUCCAUCUAAAGCUAAAUAUUGGCGAGAGACCGAUAGCGAACAAGUACAGUGAUGGAAAGAUGAAAAGAACUUUGAAAAGAGAGUGAAAAAGUACGUGAAAUUGUUGAAAGGGAAGGGCAUUUGAUCAGACAUGGUGUUUUGUGCCCUCUGCUCCUUGUGGGUAGGGGAAUCUCGCAUUUCACUGGGCCAGCAUCAGUUUUGGUGGCAGGAUAAAUCCAUAGGAAUGUAGCUUGCCUCGGUAAGUAUUAUAGCCUGUGGGAAUACUGCCAGCUGGGACUGAGGACUGCGACGUAAGUCAAGGAUGCUGGCAUAAUGGUUAUAUGCCGCCCGUCU
rnacentral:rRNA from 1 species